GAUGAAGAACGCAGCGAAACGCGAUAAGUAAUGUGAAUUGCAGAAUUUAGUGAAUCAUCGAAUCUUUGAACGCACAUUGCGCCCCCUGGUAUUCCGGGGGGCAUGCCUGUUCGAGCGUCAUUACAACCCUCAAGCUCUGCUUGGUAUUGGGCCCCGCCAGUUCUGGCGGGCCCUAAAGUCAGUGGCGGUGCCUUCCGGCUCCGAGCGUAGUAAUUCUUCUCGCUCUGGAGACCCGGUUGUGUGCUUGCCAACAACCCCCAAUUUUUUAAGGUUGACCUCGGAUCAGGUAGGGAUACCCGCUGAACUUAAGCAUAUCAAUAAGCGGAGGA
rnacentral:misc_RNA from 1 species